UUCAGCUCUCUGGGUGUUCUCACUUCAAAGACCCUAAGCAUCUCACGAUUGAGAAUUUGUUCAGCAUCCCAAACUGGAACUCUGUACCCAUUCAACAAUACCCUCUUUAAAAAAAGGAAAUCAACCAAAAAGGAGCAGGUCUGACCAAAUGUCAUGCAGCCGUGCAGAGGAAGACAAUGGACACAGUGAUCUCUCAAGAACUCUGAGGACACUCUUGCUACUUCGGCCAGUUCUGCUGCCCAGCACCCAGCCUACUUUACCUGCAUGGACAGACGGAUGGAGGAGCGGUGUAUGGUGGGGCAAGGGGUAUUUGCUUGUUGCUUAGGCUAGUAUGAGUUGCUUUCUGUAACUUACAUCUGAAAGAGUUACUUCAGCCUGCAUAUGAUGAAGCAGGUACAGGAUUUAGAGUGACGACCUGUGUUUGAAGCUGAGAGCUGAUUCUUAUUAACCGUGUUCAAGAUAUCUAACUUGUCCAGACCUCAGUCUCAUCAUCUGUACAAUAUACAAGAUAUUCGUGAAGUUUAAAGUGCUUGUGUAAUGAAAAUGUCAUCUGAAUGUUAAAGUAAUUACUAAUCUAAGCGCCUUUCUCCUACAAACUAAAGGGGGGCUGGCAGUCUCCUUCAUGACCCUCCCAGCCAAUCCACUCUACCCGAAGAAACCACUGUUCUGAGCCAUGUCAUUAGAGAUUAUCAGAAAACCUGUGUUUGAAUACCAGUGCUGCUAAUUAUUAACAGUAUGACUAACUUCUUAUCAGCAUUAUCAUCAGUAUUAUCAACAGUAUUAUCAUCAGUAAAAUGGAGUUAAUUUUAAAAGAAACACCUUUGGAGAGCAGUUGAAAAGUUUGCUAGGCUUUCUAAUAUAAGUUUUCCAACAAGGAUCCUUAUAAUGUGGUCUGUUAAGGAAU
ensembl:lncRNA